GAUUCGUUAACCACUGCGCCACGACGGGAACUCCCCCUUCAGUGAUUUUUACAACCUUGUUAGGUGAGGACAACUCUAUCAGUCAGGAUCUAGCAGGAAAAGGUGACUCACUCAAGGUCACUGAGGAGAGUUUAAUUGAUACAGAUGCAGAGAGGUUCAGGGGAUGGCCCCCUUCCACCUGGAUCCUUCCCAGAUGUCCCCUUUUCUCUAAGUCGUGUCCCAGCCCUCUCCCCUCGCCAUUCCAGUCCAGGUGGCCCAUCUUUGGUCCCUCUAGGGGUGGAGGUGUGGGCUAGGACAGUGGUUCUCAGUCUCAGCUAGCAAUCAACUCAUCUGGGGAACUUUUAAAAUACAUCACUGCCUGGGCCCCACUCCCAGAAGUUCUAAUUUAGUGGGUCUCAGGUAAGGCCUGGGCAUUGGUGCUAUUUAAAGGCUCUCGGGUGACUCUGACAGGCCCAGAGCAAUUAUUUCAGACCCUCAGAGGUGUAGGACCUGGGCACAGGGUGCUUUUUCAAAAUCUCCCCAGUGUGCAGCCAGCGUCAAGAAGCUCUGAUCUGUUUUCUUUCAAAAUCUAUUGUUUGCCAUAAACUUGGGGAUCUGUUCUCAGAUUUUCCUCUAACGUGUAUUUCAGAGGUAAAACAAUAUAAUAAAUGUAAAAACUGGACAUUGAUUCUUUUCACCCUAAUAACACUACUUGAGGUACUAGAAGCAUCUCUGGCCGGAGUCAAGAACGAAGGAACAGAGAAAAGUAACAUCAUGUUCCCAGCAGCGUUCUUCCCAACAGCCAAAACCUUGAAGCGACCCAAGUAUCCAAAGACAGACGAAUGGACAAACAAGAUAUGGUAAAUACAUACAAUGGACUAUUUGCAGCCUUAAAAAGGAAGGGAAUUCUGACACAUGUUACCGCAUGGAUGAACCUCGAGGACAUGAUGCUAAGUGAUAAAGGCUAGUCUCAAAAAGACAGAUACUGUAGGACUCCGCUUACAUAAGGUCCCUAGGGUUGUCAAAAUCACAGGGACAGGACGUAGAAGGCUAUUGACUUCGAUAAAAUAAAUCUAAAGAAGAAAAGGGUGGUUGCCAGGGGCUGAAGAAAGCGGGAUUGGGGAGCUGUUUAACCCUGGGUACAGUUUUGCAGACGAAAAGGGUUUUGGACAUUGGUGACACAGCGACAUGAAUGUAUUUAACACCGUUGAACUGUACACUUAAAAUGGUUAAGCUGGAUAUUUUCUGUGUAUUUUACAAUUUUUUUAAAAAACCUUAAAACAGAAAUAUUUAAUUAGUUUGCUUUGUAUGUUCAUGCACAUUUUAAAAACACAACUCCCCCUCGUCUUCCUCACACCCUAAGCCCCAGGGUUUGCUCUGGAUCCAGGCAGAACAGAUCUUAGCUCCGUUUUUUCCCUUAAUCUGGCCAGGUGGGAAGACACAGCCGGGCCCAGGACUAUAAACUGGAAACGAGAAACAGCUGGGAAAGCUCUUGCUCCUCCUUCGCGUCUUUAGUGAUGCCCAGACAUGGGCUGGGCUGUGUGGGGCUGGGGGGCAGCAAGGACGCCCCUGUGGACCAGAAGCCCCAGGGCAGGCCUGGCAGUGGACGAGCGGCAAAUGGAAGUAAAACUUCUCUGCGAGGGAGGGACCAUAACCACCAAUAUACAAAUGCCAGGGCCUUAUGGGUCGUAUUGGCAUACAGGAUGGCAUCUGCUUUGUUAAAGAUCAGACUCCAAGAAAUGAGCCUUUAUCUCAAGUGUGAGCUUCAGAGGCAUGACAGCCUCAGUGAGCCAGCUCCAGAGACUGUGUGGGCAAACGGCUGAUGAGGGAGUUCGGGGCUAAGGAUGGCCCUGGCUCAUCUUGGAAAAGUCCUCCCUGCUGUCAAAAAUGAUUUGCCACAGCUAUAUAGAGCCUUGCAUAUUAUUUAUAAAGAGGGAUAGAAUAGCAGAGGGAAAUAAUGUAAGAGAAAAAUCAACAGGCCUUAUGGAUUCUGCAACAAGCAUAUUUCAGUAAAGGGAAAAACCUACAGUCUUUAAAUAUCUCAUCUGCAUUAUUUCCUCCUUGGUCCAUUCUCCGUCCACCCGCUCCUCUGGUUAUUGGCAAGGGAGCCCUGGAAAUUCUCUUGAUGUAGCCAGCUAGCAAUUUUUAGCUUAGAACAGGGUGGAACUGGAGCACAUAGAAGAGACCAGGCUAAGACUGCCCCCUCCCAAAGUUACACCAUCUUAUCGCCCUGGUAAACCCCAAAGGCCCACCAGGAAUUGACUCACUGUGCCUCCUUGCACAAUGACAGACCCUGUUCUCCUUGGGAACUUAAUAUCUCUCUCUAUUGAUUCUGUUGGCAAAUUGGGACACUGAAACUAUAUUGCAAACUGGUAUGUUUUCUGCAUUACAUAAUAGAAUCGAUUCAUUCUUUC